rnacentral:rRNA from 1 species
GCCUAACACAUGCAAGUCGAGCGGAUGACGGGAGCUUGCUCCUUGAUUCAGCGGCGGACGGGUGAGUAAUAGCCUAGGAAUCUGCCUGGUAGUGGGGGACAACGUUCGAAAGGAACGCUAAUACCGCAUACGUCCUACGUGGAGAAAGCAGGGGACCCUCGUGGCCUUGCGCUAUCAGAUGAGCCUAGGUCNGGAUUAGCUAGUUGGUGAUGGUAAUGGCUCACCAAGGCGACGAUCCGUAACUGGUCUGAGAGGAUGAUCAGUCACACUGGAACUGAGACACGGUCCAGACUCCUACGGGAGGCAGCAGUGGGGAAUAUUGGACAAUGGGCGAAAGCCUGAUCCAGCCAUGCCGCGUGUGUAGAAGAAGGUCUUCGGAUUGUAAAGCACUUUAAGUUGGGAGGAAGGGCAGUAAGUUAAUACCUUGCUGUUUUGACGUUACCAGACAGAAUAAGCACCUGGCUAACUCUGUGCCAGCAGCCGCGGUAAUACAGAGGGUGCAAGCGUUAAUCGAGAAUUAACUGGGCGUAAAGCGCGCGUA